rnacentral:rRNA from 1 species
CCUACGGGAGGCUGCAGUAGGGAAUAUUGCUCAAUGGGGGAAACCCUGAAGCAGCAACGCCGCGUGGAGGAUGAAGGUUUUCGGAUUGUAAACUCCUUUUGUUAGAGAAGAUAAUGACGGUAUCUCACGAAUAAGCACCGGCUAACUCCGUGCCAGCAGCCGCGGGAAUACGGAGGGUGCAAGCGUUACUCGGAAUCACUGGGCGUAAAGAGAGCGUAGGCGGGGUAGCAAGUCAGAUGUGAAAUCCUAUGGCUUAACCAUAGAACUGCAUUUGAAACUGUUAUUCUAGAGUAUAGGAGAGGUAGGUGGAAUUCUUGGUGUAGGGGUAAAAUCCGUAGAGAUCAAGAGGAAGACUCAUUGCGAAGGCGACCUGCUAGAACGUAACUGACGCUGAGGCGCGAAAGCGUGGGGAGCAAACAGGAUUAGAUACCCGAGUAGUC